rnacentral:misc_RNA from 1 species
GCAAACUUGGUCAUUUAGAGGAAGUAAAAGUCGUAACAAGGUCUCCGUAGGUGAACCUGCGGAGGGAUCAUUACAGAGUUAAAUAAACUCCAAAACCCACUGUUAUUUCUACCUUUUCUUGUUGCUUUGGCAGGCGGUCCCAGGGCGGGGCCUUUGUCACCUCGGUGGCGCCUGCCAGAGGACAACCAAAACUCUGUCAGUCUGUAAUACUCUGAGUUACAAAACAAAAUAAGUCAAAACCUUCAACAACGGAUCUCUUGGUUCUGGCAUCGAUGAAGAACGCAGC